AGAAGUCGCCUCCGUCCACUAUUCCUUGAAUUUGGGCCGGCGCUCUUUUGAACCGUGAACUCGAAACAAUUAUCGUGGAAUCGUUCCCUUCAAAUCACGCGCGCAACGUGCGCAGGAGGGCGUCCGCGGUCUUCUGUGACUAAAAAAGGGUGACUCAAGCAGUCAAUCGACAUGAAUUGGAAGCAUGGGAUAACAAAGCAGCAGCCUACGGUCUACCGUCCGGCUUUUGUUGGUAUUGAGGACUGAGGGAGAUUACGGCGGUGUGCGACAAGUGGUUCGGGGUUCGUCCCCACGCUUCCGUUUGCUUUCUCUUCGGGUGAGGCGGCGGCUCACUUCGCCAGGAAUGAAGGAGGGUUGUUCGGGGGGAAAGUACUUGCGCGUGAGAGGUGAAAUUCUUAGACCGCGCAAAGACUACUACAGCGAAGGCAUUCUCCAAGGAUACCUUCCUCAAUCAAGAACCAAAGUGUGGAGAUCGAGAUGAUU
rnacentral:rRNA from 1 species